AUUGAACGCUGGCGGCAUGCUUUACACAUGCAAGUCGAACGGCAGCGCGGGCUUCGGCCUGGCGGCGAGUGGCGAACGGGUGAGUAAUUCAUCGGAACGUGCCCAGUCGUUGGGGAUAGCCCGGCGAAAGCCGGAUUAAUACCGCAUACGACCUGAGGGUGAAAGCGGGGGGCCGAAAGGCCUCGCGCUAUUGGAGCGGCCGAUGUCGGAUUAGCUAGUUGGUGGGGUAAAGGCUUACCAAGGCGACGAUCCGUAGCUGGUCUGAGAGGACGACCAGCCACACUGGGACUGAGACACGGCCCAGACUCCUACGGGAGGCAGCAGUGGGGAAUUUUGGACAAUGGGGGCAACCCUGAUCCAGCCAUGCCGCGUGCGGGAAGAAGGCCUUCGGGUUGUAAACCGCUUUUGUUCGGGAAGAAAUCCUCUGGGCUAAUACCCCGGGGGGAUGACGGUACCGGAAGAAUAAGCACCGGCUAACUACGUG
rnacentral:rRNA from 1 species